rnacentral:rRNA from 1 species
AUGAAGGUUCGAAAUCUGUAUUCCCUUCGCGAGGAUCUAAACAGGGCAGCGGUUGUUGUCCUGUGGAUACCCCUCUUAUUCUGGAUACCCCUCGGUUGCAUGGUUUUCCGCGUGAACGGCCUGCCUCCCAAAUUCUCCGUUCAGGUCAGCGAGGCCAGGAGUCCCGAGGUUCCCCGCGCGGCGGUCCCAGCCGACCCCGUCUCCACUACCACUACCAGUACCGCCUUCAACAUUACCCUGCACGCCGUCAACCGGCGCCCCGCGGACAGGUGCUACCGCCAAGGCGAGGCGGUUGUGCUCUACUCCGGCCUCACCGUCGCGUGGGGCCGCACGCCGCGCUUCUGCGUGGGCGCGAUGCAUACACGGGACGUGACGGUCGUGGCAUGGGCCGACGACGGUGUCCAGUUGCCUACCUUGCUCAGAGACCAGAUGGCGAUGGAGCGGCGUGCUGGCUCGGUGGAGCUCGAUGUCGAUCUGAGGCUGUUCCGGAGCGAUGACGGCUCGGCCAGACCAACGUGGAUGCGGUGCAAGGUGACGACGGGUGGACCCAAGCAGAUGGACGGAGUUCCAUGCACAGUAUUCGCUCUGCAGAAUUGGGCCUCGGAUGUUGCCCCGUGUUGGAUGCAGUGA